GAUACGAGUAUUGUGUUGACACAGUCUCACAUCAAGGCAUAUAUGCUGAUGACACUUCAAGGAUUAGAAUAUCUGCAUCAUCACUGGAUUUUGCACAGGGAUCUUAAACCAAAUAACUUGCUGUUAGAUGAAAAUGGGGUUUUAAAAUUAGCUGACUUUGGCUUGGCAAAAUCUUUUGGAAGCCCAAAUAAAGUUUAUACACACCAGGUAGUAACAAGAUGGUACCGAGCCCCAGAACUAUUGUUUGGAGCUAGAAUGUAUGGUGUUGGUGUUGAUAUGUGGGCUGUUGGUUGUAUUUUAGCUGAAUUGCUCCUCAGGAU